rnacentral:tRNA from 1 species
GUGGGUGUAGCUCAGUUGGUUAGAGCGCCAGGUUGUGGCCCCGGAGGUCGUGGGUUCAAAUCCCAUCACUCACCCA